UUUGGUUGCCUGUGCUUGUGGGGUAUUACUCAAUAAAUCUUUGCCCAGUCCAAUGUCCUGGAGAGUUUCCCCAAUGUUUUCUUUUGGUAGUUUCAUAGUUUUAGGUCUUAGAUUUAAGUCUGUAAUCCUUCUUGAUUUAAUUUUUGUAUAUGUUUAGAGAUAGGGGUCUAGUUUCAUUCUUCUCCAUGUAGAUAUCCAAUUUUCCCUGAAUCAUUUAUUGAAGAGACGUUUUUUCCAGUGUAUGCUCUUGGCAUGUUUGUCAAAAAUGAGAUCACUGUAGAUGUAUCUAUUUAUCUCUGGGUUCUCUCUUCCACUGAUCUGUGUGUCUAUUUUUAUGCCAGUACUAUACUGUUUUGGUUACUAUAACUCUGUAGUGUAUUUUAAAGGCAAGUAAUGUGAUUCCUCCAGUUUUGUUCCUUUUGUUUAGGAUAGCCUUGGCUAUUCAGGGUCUUUUGUGGUUCCAUAUACAUUUUAGAAUUGUUUCUUCUAUUUCUGUGAAGAAUGGUAUUUUGGUAUUGUUAUUUUGAUAGGGAUUGCAUUAAAUCUGUAGAUUGCAUUGGGUAGUAUGGACAUUUAAGCAAUAUUGAUUGCUCCAAUCCUUGAAAAUGGAAUAUCUUUUAUUUUUUCAUGUCUUCUUCAAUUUCUUGAUCAAUGUUUUAUAGUUUUCAUUGUAGAGAUCUUUCCCUUCUUUAGUUAAUUCCUAGGUGUUUUAUUUUAUCUGUAGCUAUUGUAAAUGGGAUUACUUUCUUGAUUUCUUUUUCAGAUUAUUCACAGUUGGGAUAUUUAAGUGCUACUGAUUUUUGUAUCUUGAUUUUGUAUCCUGCAACUUUACUAAAUGUGUUGAUCAGUUCUAAUAGUUUUUUGGUGAGUCUUCUUUCCAAAUAUAAGAUUGUAUCAUCUGCAAACAAGGAUAAUUUGACUUCUUCCUUUCCAAUUUGGAUGCUCUUUAUUGCAUUCUCUUGUCUUCUGGUUGCUCUAACUAUAACUUCCAGUACUAUUUUGAAUAACAGUGAUGAAAGUGGGCAUCCUUGUUGUGUUCCUGAUCUUAGAGAAAAGGCUUUCAGUUUUUUUCCCGUUCAGUAUGAUACUAGCUAUUGGUCUUUUAUGUAUGGCUUUAUUAUGUUGAGUUAUGUUCCUUCUAUACCUAGUUUUUUGAGGGUUUUUAUCAUGAACGGGUGUUGAAUUUUAUUGGUUACUUUUUCAGUAUCAAUUGAAAUGAUCAUAUGGUUUUUGUCCUUUAGUCCACUGAUACGAUGUAUCAAAUCAAUUGAUUUGCAUGUGUUAAACCAUCCUUGCAUCCUGGGGAUAAAUCCCACUUUGUCGUAAUGAACAAUCUUUUUAAUGUGUUGUUGAAGUCAAUUUGCUAGUGUUUUGUUGAAUGUUUUUGUGUAAAUAUUCAUCAGUGAUAUUGGCCUAUACUUUUUCUUUUUUUGAUGUGUCUUUGUCUGGUUUUGGUAGCAGGGUAAUACUGGCAUCACAGGAUGAGUUUAGAAUGGCUCAUGGUUCAGUCCUUGUAGGUUGUAUCUCUGUCUUUAGCUCUAAUCAUAUUUGCUUUAUAUAUCUGAACUCUCCAGUGCUGGGUGCACGUAUAUUUAAAAUUGUUAAUAUACGUGCUGAAUCGAUCCCUUUAUCAUUAUAUAGUGAGCUUCUUUGUCUCUUCUUAUAGUUUUUGUCUAUAUAUACACACAUAUAUAUAUCUGGGUGCUCCAAUGGUGGCCUGGCAAUACUCUCCAUAGCUCUGUGGGAUGAUGGCCAUGGGAUGAGGCUACUCUGCCUCAAAAGUGGAGGGAAGAGUGGGAAGGACUAUGUUGCCAGAUGUAUGUCAUUUGUUUCUUUUCUCUCGCUGCUUUCUCUCGCU
ensembl:lncRNA